UACUUGUUUUGACCAUUUGUCGCGCUACACCGCACAACGUAAAAGCUGUCCGACUUUACCAUUAUUACAUACCGUUAUCACAUUUGCCAGACUAACACAUCGGCUACAUUUGCACCGAAUUGGGUUCAAGGUGUUUUCUUUAUACGAAGAUUACUUUUUGAAUUAAACCACCCAAGUCAGACAUUUCAAGAUUAACACAUCGGCUACAUUUGCACCGAAUUGGGUUCUAGGUGUUUUCUUUAUACGAAGAAAACUUUUUGAAUUAAAGCACCCAAGUCAGACAUUUUACGGUAUUCUAUUUGAAUAAGGUAAGAAUCUGAGCUUUGGCUCAACUAUAUAUGAACAAAAGAGUUCUGAACCUAAAAUACUUGUUUGAUCAAUUAUCGCGCUACACCGCACAACGUAAGAGCUAUCGGACUUUACCAUUAUUACAUACCGU